GGUGGGCUGGCUUAGCCGCGAGCGCGCCGCGCUGCUGACGCGCUGGCCGCAGUGGUUCGAGGUCGGUGCCGAUCA
rnacentral:tRNA from 1 species